AUUGAACGCUGGCGGCAGGCCUAACACAUGCAAGUCGAGCGGCAGCACGGGUACUUGUACCUGGUGGCGAGCGGCGGACGGGUGAGUAAUGCCUAGGAAUCUGCCUGGUAGUGGGGGAUAACGCUCGGAAACGGACGCUAAUACCGCAUNCGUCCUACGGGAGAAAGCAGGGGACCUUCGGGCCUUGCGCUAUCAGAUGAGCCUAGGUCGGAUUAGCUAGUUGGUGAGGUAAUGGCUCACCAAGGCGACGAUCCGUAACUGGUCUGAGAGGAUGAUCAGUCACACUGGAAAUGAGACACGGUCCAGACUCCUACGGGAGGCAGCAGUGGGGAAUAUUGGACAAUGGGNGAAAGCCUGAUCCANCCAUGCCGCGUGUGUGAAGAAGGUCUUCGGAUUGUAAAGCACUUUAAGUUGGGAGGAAGGGCAUUUACCUAAUACGUAAGUGUUUUGACGUUACCGACAGAAUAAGCACCGG
rnacentral:rRNA from 1 species